UACGUAGGGCGCAAGCGUUGUCCGGAAUUAUUGGGCGUAAAGAGCUUGUAGGUGGCUUGUCGCGUCUUCCGUGAAAACCCGAGGCUCAACCUCGGGCGUGCGGUGGGUACGGGCAGGCUAGAGUGUGGUAGGGGAGACUGGAACUCCUGGUGUAGCGGUGAAAUGCGCAGAUAUCAGGAAGAACACCGAUGGCGAAGGCAGGUCUCUGGGCCAUUACUGACACUGAGAAGCGAAAGCAUGGGUAGCGAACAGGAUUAGAUACCCU
rnacentral:rRNA from 1 species